UUAUUUUUUCUUUUCCAGCCUAAUUCUAACUUUACCGUGUAAGGCCAUAAUUUUAGGCUAAUUUUAUCCUCCAUGUCACUGCUGUAUUCUAUCUCAUUUUUACCCUGGUCGAUUCAUUUUUUUCUCCAAGUUAUUUUUAGUUUCUUGUUUUUCACCAUUUUCAAUUUUUCCUCCACAACUGUAAAGAGCUUAAAUUUUUCUUUUUAUAGUUACUAUUUCAUCUCUAAUGGCUCGAUGUAUGCUAUCUCCAUCAACCUCUAUGCCUCCAAGAACAUUUUUUAGCAAAGCCACUAAAAAAG
rnacentral:lncRNA from 1 species